rnacentral:lncRNA from 1 species
GAUUUUGGAUCCUGUUUCAUUCUAAUGCAUGCGGCAGUGCAACCUCUCCGAAUGCGAAAGCAAGAACAGAAGAGCUCAUCAAGCGGCUCCUGGUGAGGCCUCGGAGACAGUCUUGGAGACUGGAAUUUUAACAGCACUAUAUUUCAUUGCGGCCUGUAAGUCCGAUGCUGUGCGAUCCUGCUGUUUUUUCAGCGAAUUUUUCGGUGCUGAUGUUCAGUAUGGAAUUUCUUGGUUUAAAUUUGAAAACUAUUUUUAUUGACAAGUUAUGUUUAGUUUUAUGGGUGCUCCAAAUUAAAAAGAUUGACAAUAGAAAUACUACAGUUUGAUUAAGAAUAGACUAUCAUUCUUUCUUGAUGAAGAACAGUUGCUUUUUACUGCCACUCCAAAAUCCAUCAAUAAUUAUGUUCAGUAGUUGAAACAA